CCACAGACCAUCUCUCUCUCUCUCUCUCUCUCUCUCUCUUCAUCUCUGGCAUUUGACGCUCCUCAUGAGGAAAAAUAUGGGCCACUGGAGGUUUUCGAAUAUGUAUCUAUUAUCGAAUCGUUGCUUUAUCCUCAUGGUUGCUUUUCUUCCCUAGAUGACGAUUGCUUCUCCAAAGCUUGAUUGCUUCCCACAUCAAUCUCAUGGUUUAAAUGUUAAUCGACACCUUCAAGGGUCUGUUGAUUGUUUUCCCCAAGUCGACGAUUCACUCUCAGUCCUAUAGAUGAAGACACAAAUCAGAAACAGCUGGAUUGACUAUUCUCCGCACCUUCAAGUAUGGAAGCACUGGAAUGGGCCUAGAAGCCUUAAGAUAUGCUUACACCUUGCAUAUCAUCACUUUGGAUCCUAGAGCUAUACAAAUUGCCAAAAUCUUGGCUUCUUCAGAAAUAUUGCAGAAUUCAGGCCUGCAACCACUUUCUCAAAUUGGGAGAGAUUGCUUUCACAUGAAUUCAGGCAUGUUUAUUCUUUCGACCUUCACAUCUAAGGUGUGAAAAAUAUAAGGUUCAAAGCUUUAAUAUGAUGGUGCAUCAAGAAGCCUUAGAUCAUCCCAUUUGGAAAUGAAACCUCAGCUAGAGAAGAAGAUGAAAGGAUCGUCUUCGGAAAUGGCGGAUCAGAGUAGCAAUUCUUCUGCCGUUGAGGGAAUUGUGCUCUAUCGGAAAUGGCGGAUCAAAGUAGCAGACCAAUAAUUUUUUAAUUUGUUUGUCAACUC